AUUGAACGCUGGCGGCAUGCCUUACACAUGCAAGUCGAACGGUAACGGGCCUUCGGGUGCCGACGAGUGGCGAACGGGUGCGUAAUACAUCGGAACGCGCCCGAUCGUGGGGGAUAACGAGGCGAAAGCUUUGCUAAUACCCCCUACGACCUCCGGCUAACUUCAGGGGACCGCAAGGCCUCGCGCGACCGGGCCGGCCGAUGGCAGAUUAGGUAGUUGUCGGGAUAAAAGCUUACCAAGCCGACGAUCUGUAGCUGGUCUGAGAGGAUGAUCAGCCACACUGGGACUGAGACACGGCCCAGACUCCUACGGGAGGCAGCAGUGGGGAAUUUUGGACAAUGGGCGCAAGCCUGAUCCAGCCAUGCCGCGUGGAGGAUGAAGGCCUUCGGGUUGUAAAGUGCUUUUGUACGGAACGAAAAGCCUUCUUUUAAUACAGGAGGGUCAUGACGGUACCGAAAGAAUAAGCACCGGCUAACUACGUG
rnacentral:rRNA from 1 species